rnacentral:rRNA from 1 species
AGAAUCAACGCUGGCGGCGUGCCUAACACAUGCAAGUCGAACGAGAAAGUGGAGCAAUCCAUGAGUAAAGUGGCGACCGGGUGAGUAACACGUGACUAACCUACCUUCGAGUGGGGGAUAACCUCGGGAAACCGAGGCUAAUACCGCAUAACAUCGCAAGAUCAAAGCAGCAAUGCGCUGGAAGAGGGGGUCGCGGCUGAUUAGCUAGUUGGCGGGGUAAUGGCCCACCAAGGCGAAGAUCGGUAGCCGGCCUGAGAGGGCGCACGGCCACACUGGAACUGAAACACGGUCCAGACUCCUACGGAGGCAGCAGUGGGGAAUUUUGCGCAAUGGGGGAAACCCUGACGCAGCAACGCCGCGUGGAGGAUGAAGCCCCUUGGGGUGUAAACUCCUUUCGACCAAGACGAUAAUGACGGUACUGGUGGAAGAAGCACCGGCUAACUCUGCGCCAGCAGCCGC